rnacentral:rRNA from 1 species
UACGUAGGCAGCGAGCGUUGUUCGGAAUUACUGGGCGUAAAGAGUGUGUAGGCGGUGUUCCAAGUUCGGUGUGAAAUCUCCCGCUUAACUGGGAGGGUGCGCCGAAAACUGGAAUGCUCGAGCGUGGAAGAGGAAAGCGGAAUUCCUGGUGUAGCGGUGAAAUGCGCAGAUAUCAGGAGGAACACCGGUGGCGAAGGCGGGUCUCUGGGCCGGAACUGACGCUGAGGAGCGAAAGCGUGGGGAGCGAACAGG